AUGAAUGACUGAGACCCCACCAGAAUUAUGGGCUCCUGCAAUAGCUCGUCUGAUAUUACAACCGCCAGCGGUGGUCUGAGUAAUAGCAUAACCAGGCGACCUAUGCUAACUCUCAACCGUACCUUCGUUAACAUCACAAAAGCUAACUGGGUCGGCUUCACAGAAUUUACUGAGAGCACCUUCAAAGCACUGCCCAUUUCUUUGGACGUACUCGUUGGCGAACGUCAUUUCCGCAAGGCGAUCGCUGCUGCUACUGCUCGCUUAUUUCCUGCUGGACGCAUUGUGGACAUCUGCCCAAACUUCCCAGAGGAACCAGGAGUUUUAGUCAACGAGCGACGUCUUACGCCGUGUCUAUCCCUGUGAUCCCCGUAUAAGGGAGCUCGGUUUCGAAAUUCGACGAGCGGAAAAUCAAUAUAAGCGAACGAAAUGGGUAAAUCAUCUGAAAUCUGUCAAAUCCCAAAUUUCAACAUGAUGACCGUGUUGAAAUUCCAUUCGCUGGUCAUGCGUACUCAGAUCCGAAGAAGUACGCGAGCUAUUUAAGGCGGAAAUUUAUACUGCACGCUUCGGUGGAUAAGGUGAAAAUAUGUGUUACCCGGCGUCUGCGCAAAAUGCUAAAAGACUGCGGACCACUUACCUUCACCAGCGGUGAGGUUGCAGUUGUCAUCAAAAACAGUAUAAACAUGUUGAUGCUGAAACACUUUUGCUCGGCGGUACAGAGCAGCAACAAAAACCUCAAGUCGCUAGCCGGCAGCAAAUGGGGUAAAUACAAAAAAACGUUGUUGGCAACUUACUAGGCAAUCGGCCGGCCGGUCCUAAACUACGCAGCUAACGCAAUGGGGAAGUUUCAGACUUGUCAAUACACCGCUCUCCGGGCAGCUACAGUUUGCCUCUUUGUGUCUCUGGUCGAGAACCUGCACAAUGCGGCCCGUAUGCUACCUGUCAAGGAGGACAACGAAAUGCUCUCCAAAAAGUAUUUGUUGGGAUGCUUUCGCAGAUUUGUCCUGCAUGCAAACAGUCCCCGCACAACACUAACCAGCUCUCUACAUGCCCCCUAAAUCCUACUCACCUAACACCCAUUUUCCUUUGGUCCGACCUUAUCGAAACAGCUUGUUCCUUGGGCCUCCCGUUAGAUGACUUCGAUGACAAUUAGUCUAGACUUGUCGGUACAUUAAAAAAUAUAGAAUGUAUACGUUUCACUAUCCUAUAACUAAUUGAAUAAUACUUCAAUAAAUCACUUGCCCUUUUGGGUUACGUAGGCUGGAAGAAGUUUCAGCUGUCACAGUAUUAAAACGGUAAUUGUGCACAGAUGAGGUGAACGUGGGGAGUGUGACGAGUUUGUGAUGUCAUCUAAUUUUGCCCGACAAUCGGAUUACUAACUUGUGACUUAUUCACCGUUAAGUGCAAUGUAUGUUAUGGGCAAAAGUAGUUUCCAGCUCCGUCAAAGUCCAUGAUUUAAAUGUUGCCAUAAAAACAGCAGCAUUAAACAUAUCCCAAGUAAUUUUGAGGAAUGCUGCCGAUUUGACAGCGCUUUGCCAGAUAAAAAUGCGUGUCCGUCCCGGCUACGUAGAACCGACUGUCGUGGGUAGGGUACAAUCGGUGCUUAUGCUACUCUGGUUGGAUUGUUGUUUUAUAGUUGUACCAAUGUUUUCAAUGCCUUUAGUUGCUAUAUCGACUUCGUAUACUGAUGGUGAUUUAACAAUUUCAUAAGGGAUCGCCCCACGCGUACGGCGUCGAGUGCGUAUGCGAUUUGGUGCACUGUGCUAAGCAUUAUGGAUGUUGGUAUAGGAAAAAUUUGCUUACUCAAGAUACGUGUCUUACGCUAGCUGAAAACCGGUACGAAUGCGGUAACAGGUGAAGCAAUAGUUGCACUUCAUUGAUCCAAAAUUUAAUUUGUGUUCGUGUUUUUUUAUAUAAAUAUACACGUUUCCUCCUACCACUGGCCAUUUCUAUUAGUUUCUGUUAGCUUGAUUACAUCGCCUAUAUCUCGUUUUAGUGAAUUUUGUUCGUCUAAAAAUUGCCGAAAUCGGACAAUAUACAAAGUCAAAGACAUCGAACAUGAGGGGCAGGCUCAGUAGUUGUGGGCAUUUCAUUUACCGAAAAUAUUGGUAAAUCUUACAGAUAUUCUAAAGAAAAUCAGAAGUGGUCUUUAUAAUUAUGAGCCUCCGUGCUGAAAAUUUGGCAAAAAAGGUCAAUACUUCAUCUAGUCUCUAGCCUUAAAUAUUAGUAUUUCACUUAUCUGGCAACAAUGCGUUAAUUAUUCGUCGAUUCGAUUUAUAUAAGACUGUUAGUAUAUGUACAUGCACAUAAGUACUUUAUCUAAAAUUAAAAUGCUCCCACUGUUUGACUAUUUUGGAAAGUUGGCUAUUCAAAAUUAAGCCCAUCGUAUUUUUGAACAACCAAUAAUUAGAUAUAUGGGAGCUAGGGGAAGUUAAGACCUCUUUUGGGGGCAUGGCAAUGGACCGAUAUCGCUCAUUUUCAAUACCAACCCCCUCAGGAUGCCAAGGAAUAUAUGUAUGUUCCAAGUUUCGUCAAGAUAUCUUCAUUUUUACUCAAGUUAUUCGUUGCACGGACAGACAGACAUCUGGAUUUCAACUCGUCAUCCUGAUCAUUUUUAUAUAUAUAACCCUAUAUCUAACUCAUUUAGUUUUAUGACUUACAAACAACCGUUAUGUGGAUAAAACUAUAAUACUCUCUUAGCAACUUUUGUUGCGAGAGUAAAAAAAUAUAAGCUAUAAAAAAUUAAUUUCACAAUAAUGGUACUCAUUUAACGUCGUAAACGUAAUUCGCAAUAUCGUAAAACAGCUGCUAAUUUUUACAUGCAUUUUAUUUUACGACAAUCUUGCAAAUAUGCGAGACCGUUUUCAGUGGCAACCAUAGCAUUUUGCGCAAUUCACAAACAGCUGGAAGCGUCUAUUUGGUGUUUGAAAAGAAAUGGAAGCGAAAAAUAGAUUAAUGCUAAACGGCACAUUUCGUUGGGCUGAAAGCCAAACGAAAGACCUUUUGAUAAAUAUAGUGGACGCAAUCAAAGAGAAUCCGGACCAUUUUGAGGUAAUAUUGAUAUAUUAUUUAUUAAUAAGAAAAUAAUUUUUAUAUAAAGAUAUUUAUUGAUUAAACAAUAGUUCAGAAAUUUGUCGUCGCCUUAUCUCCCCUUCAUUGGUACGAGCAUUUGGUUCCCAUAACGACUCGUCAAUACUGUGCUCCGAUUCCUCGGGUUGGUAAUCGAAAUAAUCGUCUUGUUGGAGUAUAAAAUUGUGUAACAAUGCACAACAGAGAAUCCAUACCAUUUUCAUUUUUUAUUUGGAGCCUUAAGCCUUUUAAACUACCAAAUGUUCAAUUCGAAUUCUAUAUCGGCUGAAUUUUUUGUUAGUGUUAAAUUUUUAGAAUUUUCUCGAGAUGGCAUUAUAACAGUUCUCGAUAAUUUAUAUGCAUUGUCUCCAAAAAAUUUAUUUGCUUCAGUUGACAAUUCGCUGUACGAACAAUACGUGCAUCAUGAACGCUACCUGGAAAUCCUAACAUAAAGUACCUUAAUUUUAAUUUAUGAUCGCACACGGCUUGUGGCUUAACGGAGUAAAUAUGUUUUCGUGAAAAGUACGCUUCUGGGUCCUGUGACGGGUUUUCCGCCAAUUGAAUUUCGGUACCAUCAACGUAUCCUGUGCAGUUAGGUAACUCACUCGAUGUUUCUAAAACGUUCUUCCGUAUUUGGUCAACAACAGCGCAUUAAAUAUUCGUUCAGUAAAAUUCUAAAAUUUAAAAACAUGUUAAUGUAUUAUGAGGAAAGCUGACGAAUUCUGACCUGAUUGAUACCACCAUCACUGAUUCCAAAUAAACCUGUAAUCUUCGAAAGAGUAGCUCCUUCACCGCUGGAACCUAAGCGAUACAACACAAUUGCCAGUUGCGUUUUAAUUGGAAAUUGUUUGCACAACCGAGUUUUGUUGAAAAGAUUGUCUCCCUUUAUUAGAUCCAAAAUAGCAUCGAAAGUUUUCCAAGUGACACGUGUGAUCUUCUUGAAUCGGUUUUCAUCAGGUUCCCAUAAGAUUUCAUUUAAAAAUAUCCUAGAUUUCGGUACACUAUUUUGAAUAAAUUGUACGCUGUAUCUGCAUUCUUCGCCUAAAGUCAAUACAUACAUUAGGUCCUCCAUUAUUUAAUCUUCUUUACUUGUCCUCUCUUCUGCAAAACAAAACAUGUAGUCAUUUAAAACAAAACCAAUUUAAUUUAAAUACAUAAAUGUAUAUAUGUGCAUGGGGUUGUAUGUGAGUACGUAAAAUAAAAUUCAAAUGUAUCUACUGUUUGAGUAUUUUGAAAAGUUAGCUAUCAUAGUAGGCCAUCCAAAAAUAAAAAAAAAUGAAAAUGUAAAUGUAAGAGGUUGUAUGUGAGUACGUUAAAUCAAAUUCAAAUUUAUCUACUGUUUGAGUAUUUUGAAAAAUUAUCUAUCGUAGUAGGUCAUUCAAAAUUAUAAAAUGAAAAACAAGCUUCCACACAACUUUCAAAAAUGCGCAAUUUCAGUUGAAAUUCAAAGUUCGUCGAGGCACUACGGCACUACACUCACUAAUAUUACAUGGGAAAGAAAAUUUGCAGUAUAGCGAAUAUCGAAAAUGUGUGAACUAUAUUGUUUCGAUUAACAUCUAAGGCAAACGCAAUACUGCAAGUUUUUCUUCCAAUGGAAUGCUAGUGAGGACCUCGCACUAGCUUUGAAUUUCAACAGGGGUGUAAUUUAGGUCGCCUCCGCGCGGUGCACCCUGGGUAACGCAAAAUGGCCUUCCUCGGCUUCCUCCGGCGGGUACUGCAUCGAACACUUUCAGGGUUGGAGUGUUUUCGUCCAUUCGGACAACAUGACCUAGCCAGCGUAGCCGCUGUCUUUUUAUUCGCUGAACUAUGUCAAUGUCGUCGUAUAACUCGUACAGCUCAUCGUUCCAUCGUCUGCCAAUGUUCUGAGGACCAUAAAUCUUGCGCAAAAUUUUCCUCUCGAAAACUCCUAGUGUCGUCUCAUCUGAUGUUGACAUCGUCCAAGCUUCUGCACCGUAAAGCAGGACGGGAAUGAUAAGCGACUUGUAGAGCUUGAUUUUGGUUCGUCGAGAGAGGACUUUACUGUUCAAUUGCCUACUCAGUCCAAAGUAGCACCUGUUGGCAAGAGUUAUUCUGCGCUGGAUUUCGAGGCUGACAUUGUUCGUGCUGUUGAUGCUGGUUCCCAGGUAUACGAAAUUAUCUACGACCUCGAAGUUAUGACUGUCAACAGUGACGUGGGAGCCAAGACGCGAAUGCGCAGACUGUUUGUUUGAUGACAGGAGAUAUUUCGUCUUGUCCUCAUUCACCUCCAGACCAAUUCGCUUCGCCUCCUUAUCCAUGCGGGAAAAAGCAGAACAAACGGCGCGGUUGUUGCUUCCGAUGAUAUCAAUAUCAUCGGCGUACGCAAGGACGACGAGCGGUAAAUCAAUAUAAGCGAACGAAAUGGGUAAAUCAUCUGAAAUCUGUCAAAUCCCAAAUUUCAACAUGAUGACCGUGUUGAAAUUCCAUUCGCUGGUCAUGCGUACUCAGAUCCGAAGAAGUACGCGAGCUAUUUAAGUCGGAAAUUUAUACUGCACGCUUCGGUGGAUAAGGUGAAAAUAUGUGUUACCCGGCGUCUGCGCAAAAUGCUAAAAGACUGCGGACCACUUACCUUCACCAGCGGUGAGGUUGCAGUUGUCAUCAAAAACAGUAUAAACAUGUUGAUGCUGAAACACUUUUGCUCGGCGGUACAGAGCAGCAACAAAAACCUCAAGUCGCUAGCCGGCAGCAAAUGGGGUAAAUACAAAUAAACGUUGUUGGCAACUUACUAGGCAAUCGGCCGGCCGGUCCUAAACUACGCAGCUCCAAUAUGGUAGCCUGUGUGCACUAGGACGCAAAUGGGGAAGUUUCAGACUUGUCAAUACACCGCUCUCCGGGCAGCUACAGUUUGCCUCUUUGUGUCUCUGGUCGAGAACCUGCACAAUGCGGCCCGUAUGCUACCUGUCAAGGAGGACAACGAAAUGCUCUCCAAAAUGUAUUUGUUGGGAUGCUUUCGCAGAUAUGUCCUGCAUGCAAACAGUCCCCGCACAACACUAACCAGCUCUCUACAUGCCCCCUAAAUCCUAUUCAUCUAACACCCAUUUUCCUUUGGUCCGACCUUAUCGAAACAACUUGUUCCUUGGGCCUCCCGUUAGAUGACUUCGAUGACAAUUAGUCUAGACUUGUCGGUACAUUAAAAAAUAUAGAAUGUAUACGUUUCACUAUCCUAUAACUAAUUGAAUAAUACUUCAAUAAAUCACUUGCCCUUUUGGGUUACGUAGGCUGGAAGAAGUUUCAGCUGUCACAGUAUUAAAAGGGUAAUUGUGCACAGAUGAGGUGAACGUGGGGAGUGUGACGAGUUUGUGAUGUCAUCUAAUUUUGCCCGACAAUCGGAUUACUAACUUGUGACUUAUUCACCGUUAAGUGCAAUGUAUGUUAUGGGCAAAAGUAGUUUCCAGCUCCGUCAAAGUCCAUGAUUUAAAUGUUGCCAUAAAAACAGCAGCAUUAAACAUAUCCCAAGUAAUUUUGAGGAAUGCUGCCGAUUUGAAAGCGCUUUGCCAGAUAAAAAUGCGUGUCCGUCCCGGCUACGUAGAACCGACUGUCGUGGGUAGGGUACAAUCGGUGCUUAUGCUACUCUGGUUGGAUUGUUGUUUUAUAGUUGUACCAAUGUUUUCAAUGCCUUUAGUUGCUAUAUCGACUUCGUAUACUGAUGGUGAUUUAACAAUUUCAUAAGGGAUCGCCCCACGCGUACGGCGUCGAGUGCGUAUGCGAUUUGGUGCACUGUGCUAAGCAUUAUGGAUGUUGGUAUAGGAAAAAUUUGCUUACUCAAGAUACGUGUCUUACGCUAGCUGAAAACCGGUACGAAUGCGGUAACAGGUGAAGCAAUAGUUGCACUUCAUUGAUCCAAAAUUUAAUUUGUGUUCGUGUUUUUUUAUAUAAAUAUACACGUUUCCUCCUACCACUGGCCAUUUCUAUUAGUUUCUGUUAGCUUGAUUACAUCGCCUAUAUCUCGUUUUAGUGAAUUUUGUUCGUCUAAAAAUUGCCGAAAUCGGACAAUAUACAAAGUCAAAGACAUCGAACAUGAGGGGCAGGCUCAGUAGUUGUGGGCAUUUCAUUUACCGAAAAUAUUGGUAAAUCUUACAGAUAUUCUAAAGAAAAUCAGAAGUGGUCUUUAUAAUUAUGAGCCUCCGUGCUGAAAAUUUGGCAAAAAAGGUCAAUACUUCAUCUAGUCUCUAGCCUUAAAUAUUAGUAUUUCACUUAUCUGGCAACAAUGCGUUAAUUAUUCGUCGAUUCGAUUUAUAUAAGACUGUUAGUAUAUGUACAUGCACAUAAGUACUUUAUCUAAAAUUAAAAUGCUCCCACUGUUUGACUAUUUUGGAAAGUUGGCUAUUCAAAAUUAAGCCCAUCGUAUUUUUGAACAACCAAUAAUUAGAUAUAUGGGAGCUAGGGGAAGUUAAGACCUCUUUUGGGGGCAUGGCAAUGGACCGAUAUCGCUCAUUUUCAAUACCAACCCCCUCAGGAUGCCAAGGAAUAUAUGUAUGUUCCAAGUUUCGUCAAGAUAUCUUCAUUUUUACUCAAGUUAUUCGUUGCACGGACAGACAGACAUCUGGAUUUCAACUCGUCAUCCUGAUCAUUUUUAUAUAUAUAACCCUAUAUCUAACUCAUUUAGUUUUAUGACUUACAAACAACCGUUAUGUGGAUAAAACUAUAAUACUCUCUUAGCAACUUUUGUUGCGAGAGUAAAAAAAUAUAAGCUAUAAAAAAUUAAUUUCACAAUAAUGGUACUCAUUUAACGUCGUAAACGUAAUUCGCAAUAUCGUAAAACAGCUGCUAAUUUUUACAUGCAUUUUAUUUUACGACAAUCUUGCAAAUAUGCGAGACCGUUUUCAGUGGCAACCAUAGCAUUUUGCGCAAUUCACAAACAGCUGGAAGCGUCUAUUUGGUGUUUGAAAAGAAAUGGAAGCGAAAAAUAGAUUAAUGCUAAACGGCACAUUUCGUUGGGCUGAAAGCCAAACGAAAGACCUUUUGAUAAAUAUAGUGGACGCAAUCAAAGAGAAUCCGGACCAUUUUGAGGUAAUAUUGAUAUAUUAUUUAUUAAUAAGAAAAUAAUUUUUAUAUAAAGAUAUUUAUUGAUUAAACAAUAGUUCAGAAAUUUGUCGUCGCCUUAUCUCCCCUUCAUUGGUACGAGCAUUUGGUUCCCAUAACGACUCGUCAAUACUGUGCUCCGAUUCCUCGGGUUGGUAAUCGAAAUAAUCGUCUUGUUGGAGUAUAAAAUUGUGUAACAAUGCACAACAGAGAAUCCAUACCAUUUUCAUUUUUUAUUUGGAGCCUUAAGCCUUUUAAACUACCAAAUGUUCAAUUCGAAUUCUAUAUCGGCUGAAUUUUUUGUUAGUGUUAAAUUUUUAGAAUUUUCUCGAGAUGGCAUUAUAACAGUUCUCGAUAAUUUAUAUGCAUUGUCUCCAAAAAAUUUAUUUGCUUCAGUUGACAAUUCGCUGUACGAACAAUACGUGCAUCAUGAACGCUACCUGGAAAUCCUAACAUAAAGUACCUUAAUUUUAAUUUAUGAUCGCACACGGCUUGUGGCUUAACGGAGUAAAUAUGUUUUCGUGAAAAGUACGCUUCUGGGUCCUGUGACGGGUUUUCCGCCAAUUGAAUUUCGGUACCAUCAACGUAUCCUGUGCAGUUAGGUAACUCACUCGAUGUUUCUAAAACGUUCUUCCGUAUUUGGUCAACAACAGCGCAUUAAAUAUUCGUUCAGUAAAAUUCUAAAAUUUAAAAACAUGUUAAUGUAUUAUGAGGAAAGCUGACGAAUUCUGACCUGAUUGAUACCACCAUCACUGAUUCCAAAUAAACCUGUAAUCUUCGAAAGAGUAGCUCCUUCACCGCUGGAACCUAAGCGAUACAACACAAUUGCCAGUUGCGUUUUAAUUGGAAAUUGUUUGCACAACCGAGUUUUGUUGAAAAGAUUGUCUCCCUUUAUUAGAUCCAAAAUAGCAUCGAAAGUUUUCCAAGUGACACGUGUGAUCUUCUUGAAUCGGUUUUCAUCAGGUUCCCAUAAGAUUUCAUUUAAAAAUAUCCUAGAUUUCGGUACACUAUUUUGAAUAAAUUGUACGCUGUAUCUGCAUUCUUCGCCUAAAGUCAAUACAUACAUUAGGUCCUCCAUUAUUUAAUCUUCUUUACUUGUCCUCUCUUCUGCAAAACAAAACAUGUAGUCAUUUAAAACAAAACCAAUUUAAUUUAAAUACAUAAAUGUAUAUAUGUGCAUGGGGUUGUAUGUGAGUACGUAAAAUAAAAUUCAAAUGUAUCUACUGUUUGAGUAUUUUGAAAAGUUAGCUAUCAUAGUAGGCCAUCCAAAAAUAAAAAAAAUGAAAAUGUAAAUGUAAGAGGUUGUAUGUGAGUACGUUAAAUCAAAUUCAAAUUUAUCUACUGUUUGAGUAUUUUGAAAAAUUAUCUAUCGUAGUAGGUCAUUCAAAAUUAUAAAAUGAAAAACAAGCUUCCACACAACUUUCAAAAAUGCGCAAUUUCAGUUGAAAUUCAAAGUUCGUCGAGGCACUACGGCACUACACUCACUAAUAUUACAUGGGAAAGAAAAUUUGCAGUAUAGCGAAUAUCGAAAAUGUGUGAACUAUAUUGUUUCGAUUAACAUCUAAGGCAAACGCAAUACUGCAAGUUUUUCUUCCAAUGGAAUGAUAGUGAGGACCUCGCACUAGCUUUGAAUUUCAACAGGGGUGUAAUUUAGGUCGCCUCCGCGCGGUGCACCCUGGGUAACGCAAAAUGGCCUUCCUCGGCUUCCUCCGGCGGGUACUGCAUCGAACACUUUCAGGGUUGGAGUGUUUUCGUCCAUUCGGACAACAUGACCUAGCCAGCGUAGCCGCUGUCUUUUUAUUCGCUGAACUAUGUCAAUGUCGUCGUAUAACUCGUACAGCUCAUCGUUCCAUCGUCUGCGGUAUUCGCCGUUGCCAAUGUUCUGAGGACCAUAAAUCUUGCGCAAAAUUUUCCUCUCGAAAACUCCUAGUGUCGUCUCAUCUGAUGUUGACAUCGUCCAAGCUUCUGCACCGUAAAGCAGGACGGGAAUGAUAAGCGACUUGUAGAGCUUGAUUUUGGUUCGUCGAGAGAGGACUUUACUGUUCAAUUGCCUACUCAGUCCAAAGUAGCACCUGUUGGCAAGAGUUAUUCUGCGCUGGAUUUCGAGGCUGACAUUGUUCGUGCUGUUGAUGCUGGUUCCCAGGUAUACGAAAUUAUCUACGACCUCGAAGUUAUGACUGUCAACAGUGACGUGGGAGCCAAGACGCGAAUGCGCAGACUGUUUGUUUGAUGACAGGAGAUAUUUCGUCUUGUCCUCAUUCACCUCCAGACCAAUUCGCUUCGCCUCCUUAUCCAUGCGGGAAAAAGCAGAACAAACGGCGCGGUUGUUGCUUCCGAUGAUAUCAAUAUCAUCGGCGUACGCAAGGACGACGAGCGGUAAAUCAAUAUAAGCGAACGAAAUGGGUAAAUCAUCUGAAAUCUGUCAAAUCCCAAAUUUCAACAUGAUGACCGUGUUGAAAUUCCAUUCGCUGGUCAUGCGUACUCAGAUCCGAAGAAGUACGCGAGCUAUUUAAGUCGGAAAUUUAUACUGCACGCUUCGGUGGAUAAGGUGAAAAUAUGUGUUACCCGGCGUCUGCGCAAAAUGCUAAAAGACUGCGGACCACUUACCUUCACCAGCGGUGAGGUUGCAGUUGUCAUCAAAAACAGUAUAAACAUGUUGAUGCUGAAACACUUUUGCUCGGCGGUACAGAGCAGCAACAAAAACCUCAAGUCGCUAGCCGGCAGCAAAUGGGGUAAAUACAAAUAAACGUUGUUGGCAACUUACUAGGCAAUCGGCCGGCCGGUCCUAAACUACGCAGCUCCAAUAUGGUAGCCUGUGUGCACUAGGACGCAAAUGGGGAAGUUUCAGACUUGUCAAUACACCGCUCUCCGGGCAGCUACAGUUUGCCUCUUUGUGUCUCUGGUCGAGAACCUGCACAAUGCGGCCCGUAUGCUACCUGUCAAGGAGGACAACGAAAUGCUCUCCAAAAAGUAUUUGUUGGGAUGCUUUCGCAGAUAUGUCCUGCAUGCAAACAGUCCCCGCACAACACUAACCAGCUCUCUACAUGCCCCCUAAAUCCUAUUCAUCUAACACCCAUUUUCCUUUGGUCCGACCUUAUCGAAACAACUUGUUCCUUGGGCCUCCCGUUAGAUGACUUCGAUGACAAUUAGUCUAGACUUGUCGGUACAUUAAAAAAUAUAGAAUGUAUACGUUUCACUAUCCUAUAACUAAUUGAAUAAUACUUCAAUAAAUCACUUGCCCUUUUGGGUUACGUAGGCUGGAAGAAGUUUCAGCUGUCACAGUAUUAAAACGGUAAUUGUGCACAGAUGAGGUGAACGUGGGGAGUGUGACGAGUUUGUGAUGUCAUCUAAUUUUGCCCGACAAUCGGAUUACUAACUUGUGACUUAUUCACCGUUAAGUGCAAUGUAUGUUAUGGGCAAAAGUAGUUUCCAGCUCCGUCAAAGUCCAUGAUUUAAAUGUUGCCAUAAAAACAGCAGCAUUAAACAUAUCCCAAGUAAUUUUGAGGAAUGCUGCCGAUUUGAAAGCGCUUUGCCAGAUAAAAAUGCGUGUCCGUCCCGGCUACGUAGAACCGACUGUCGUGGGUAGGGUACAAUCGGUGCUUAUGCUACUCUGGUUGGAUUGUUGUUUUAUAGUUGUACCAAUGUUUUCAAUGCCUUUAGUUGCUCUAUCGACUUCGUAUACUGAUGGUGAUUUAACAAUUUCAUAAGGGAUCGCCCCACGCGUACGGCGUCGAGUGCUAAGCAUUAUGGAUGUUGGUAUAGGAAAAAUUUGCUUACUCAAGAUACGUGUCUUACGCUAGCUGAAAACCGGUACGAAUGCGGUAACAGGUGAAGCAAUAGUUGCACUUCAUUGAUCCAAAAUUUAAUUUGUGUUCGAGUUUUUUUAUAUAAAUAUACACGUUUCCUCCUACCACUGGCCAUUUCUAUUAGUUUCUGUUAGCUUGAUUACAUCGCCUAUAUCUCGUAUCGGACAAUAUACAAAGUCAAAGACAUCGAACAUGAGGGGCAGGCUCAGUAGUUGUGGGCAUUUCAUUUACCGAAAAUAUUGGUAAAUCUUACAGAUAUUCUAAAGAAAAUCAGAAGUGGUCUUUAUAAUUAUGAGCCUCCGUGCUGAAAAUUUGGCAAAAAAGGUCAAUACUUCAUCUAGUCUCUAGCCUUAAAUAUUAGUAUUUCACUUAUCUGGCAACAAUGCGUUAAUUAUUCGUCGAUUCGAUUUAUAUAAGACUGUUAGUAUAUGUACAUGUACAUAAGUACUUUAUCUAAAAUUAAAAUGCUCCCACUGUUUGACUAUUUUGGAAAGUUGGCUAUUCAAAAUUAAGCCCAUCGUAUUUUUGAACAACCAAUAAUUAGAUAUAUGGGAGCUAGGGGAAGUUAAGACCUCUUUUGGGGGCAUGGCAAUGGACCGAUAUCGCUCAUUUUCAAUACCAACCCCCUCAGGAUGCCAAGGAAUAUAUGUAUGUUCCAAGUUUCGUCAAGAUAUCUUCAUUUUUGCUCAAGUUAUUCGUUGCACGGACAGACAGACAUCUGGAUUUCAACUCGUCAUCCUGAUCAUUUUUAUAUAUAUAACCCUAUAUCUAACUCAUUUAGUUUUAUGACUUACAAACAACCGUUAUGUGGAUAAAACUAUAAUACUCUCUUAGCAACUUUUGUUGCGAGAGUAAAAAAAUAUAAGCUAUAAAAAAUUAAUUUCACAAUAAUGGUACUCAUUUAACGUCGUAAACGUAAUUCGCAAUAUCGUAAAACAGCUGCUAAUUUUUACAUGCAUUUUAUUUUACGACAAUCUUGCAAAUAUGCGAGACCGUUUUCAGUGGCAACCAUAGCAUUUUGCGCAAUUCACAAACAGCUGGAAGCGUCUAUUUGGUGUUUGAAAAGAAAUGGAAGCGAAAAAUAGAUUAAUGCUAAACGGCACAUUUCGUUGGGCUGAAAGCCAAACGAAAGACCUUUUGAUAAAUAUAGUGGACGCAAUCAAAGAGAAUCCGGACCAUUUUGAG